rnacentral:lncRNA from 1 species
CCGUCAUAUAUCAAUUUUUGCUUCGUUUGUCAUUCAUCAAAACCUACAAAAGAGUACACGUUUAGUAUAUUGCAUUGAGAACGUGUUUCUAACACUAUAGGCAUGGCAUCUAGAAUUAAUUUGUUAUUAUUAAGCCUAAGAUUGUUUGCCUAAUGACGUGUAUAUGCAGAAGUGCAGAAAAGCCCUAAGAUCAUGAUUCCUCUAUGCAGAACCUAUAGGCAUAAUCUCUAAGAUGCAGAAAUGUAGAACUUAUAAGUAUGAAUUCUAAAAUGCAGAAAUAUAGAAAUCAACUAUAGGCAAAUUUUAUAAAUGCAGGAAUGCAGAAGUGCAUAAAGGCUUAUAGACAUGUCUUCUAAGAUGUAGAAAUGCAGAAUUAUAAAGGUCCUAUAGGCAGGUUUUUUGAGUGCAAAAUGCAGAAUUAUGAAAAACCUUAUAGGCAUAUUUUCUAAGUGCAGAAAAAUGCAGAAUUGUUAAAGACAUUAUAGGCAUGUUUUCUACUCCUUUGCAUGCAUUCAUUCCCCAUGCCUUUCAACUAUCCACCCCAAUAGUUAUUACGAAAAAUUAUUAUAGACCGAGUGAAUCAAAAAGAAAGAAAAGUAAAAAAAACAUCAGAAGCUCCAUCUACAUCCAAACAACUUAAUUCGGACUCAAAGUCCAACAAUAUGAGAUAAACCAACUUCCAGAAUCAGAUGUCCAAAAGACCUUCUCAUAUGUGGAGUGUGUCAAAUUUCCCAAGAGUCUCAAAGGGACUCCGAGCAUUGCUUACACCCCAAAACAUUUAAUAAUCAAGAACAUAGUACAGUGUGGAAAAGCCAACUCUCAGAUGUCCAAACUCAGAGGGAACUCAAGGUCCCAAAGCAAGGCUUAAAAGAGACGUGUAGAACUUAAGGUUCUAGGAAUAGGUGUGAGUGCACAAAGGGGAAGGGAAUCAGGGAGAGACAAGGAAAGCUAGUGGUCAUGCCCAGCAAUUGGGAUGCUGGCACACCCCUGACCAGCCUGAUAGUCAAGCAUUGAGAGUUAGGAUCCAUUGUGGAUCAGGUCAUGGCCUGGGCAGUAAUUUAGAACUAUCAGGCCAAGACUUUAACUCAAACAUAUAGAAGGGAAUAGGGGUAGGGAUUCAUAGUGGAAACAGAUACGAGGAAAUUAGCAUAGAUCAUUGAACAUGAGCAGUAAAGCAAACAAGGGUGCCAGAACUGUAAAGUAAACACAUAGGGAGGAGGCAGAAAACUAAAUAAAAGACAUACCAGUUUCAAGGAAAAACAAGUAAAAUAGUAGUCUUGAAAAAUAAAAUUUGUAAGCAAAUAGUUACUAAAGAUCUCAGAAAAGCAGAGCGUUGAGAGAGUAUUAAACUCAAAGCAGUAAUGUGAGUCUUUGAGUUGGAAGUAAGAAGAUUGAGGUAUUGAACAUGAAGUGUAGGUGAAAGUAUUGAAUUAAAAGUGUUUUUGUUCGUGUCAAUCUCAGUCUUUGUAAAGAGGGAAGACAUGUCUUAUAUAGUUUUGAAAACAAGCAGUACAUAGGCAAAGAGUGCACAAACAUGGAAAUAGCAAUCAAUUAGUGUCAAUUAAGGUAACUGGACUCCUUUAAUUAAGGAGUCUAGUUCAAACGGUUAGUCAAGGCAGAAUAAGGAAAAGAAAUCAGUUCAGUAAGGCUGAUUAGGUCAAAUAAACAACAUAGUGCGUAAACAAAGCCAAAUACAUAGUGGAUAAUUAAGGAAAAUUGAAGUAACAGUGUAUUUAUAAAGUAAAAAAUAGGGCAUCAGUUCGAAAAUCAACCAAUAGGAUCCUAGAUCCAAUUGUAAUCACAGGGAAUCAAAGUAGUUAAGGAAAGAGUCACAUAAAUAUAGAAAUAACCCAAGAACGUGCACAGAAUUACAGAAGGACUACACAAGAUCAUGUAUUUAAGGAAAACAUCACAAGCGUUGGAUUUUUGCACAAAAGGGUCAAGUAAACAACCAGUAGAGUAAAGGAGGAUCAAUCAAAGAAAAAGUCAGUGACAUAUCAUUAGUCUUAUUAAAGGGAUUUCAAAAUCAAUCACUUGGUUGGUGAAAAACGUUUUUUUUUUUGAAAUAGGAAUAUUCUCAUAUAUAUAAAGCACACAGAUCAAACAAAAAGUGUCGUUUACUAUAAAAAAUAGAGCUUAACACUGAAAGCCUCAAAGUAACAAGAAAAAUGGAUUCAAGUUCAAUUAUAGACUCAUAGUGAGUCUGAAAGCCUAAGGUCCCAAAAUGGAAACCUAGGACCACCUGUCAAAUAACCCCCAAAACCUAGGGUUUCAAAUAGAGUCAAACAAACAGGUGAGAAACAGGUCACAGAAAGAGGCUCAGAAGUCUCUUUCAAAGACUGAUGAGAGACAAACACACACGAUGGCAAGAAUACUGAUUCAAAGUCAUGCUUUAGAAAACUUGGGAGUUAAACAAGUUUUUAAAGAAAGAGAUGAUACGAAUUUUACACAAAAGUAGACAAAAACACGCUUAGCAGGAACACAAAUAGAUUUUAGUAAAGCGAACAAAAAUCACAGAGGCCAACCACAACACAUAUAGCAAAGAGUAGGAAAAACAACACAAAUUAACACGUGAGCAUGAGAGUAACAACAACGAGUAGAAAAGUCUUGCAUAAUAGGAAAGAAACAAGAGAGCAAGCUCAAGUAUUGUAGAAAAGAAAGCAUACGAGCCUAACAUAGGUACGAACAUAUGAAGAGAGAAUGGAAAGAAUCAAGAAAGAAACAAAUAUUUGAAGAAAUUUUCCAAAAACCCUAAAAAUCGGAAUUGAAUGAUUUUAAAAAGAAAUUUGGAGAAAACCUAUAAAACAUCAAGUAAAGACCAUGCAUGUCACAUAUCUAAAAGAAAUAGGCAAGUACAGAACCUUAGACAACUUAGAGUUGCAGAGAAAACCCUAGAAUGAGAAAGGUCUUGAAGAAAGUCGGAUCUCGAGUCGAAAAGAAUCAUAUUGCUUGAACAUGCCUGAAAAUGGCCGGAGAAGCCAUAGAUCUACAGAUCUGAGAAACAUCUGAAGAGAACCAUCAGAGUUGGGUUUCGAAUCAUUGAACACCUUGGGUUUGAUGGUGAGAGAGGGCGAGCAUAAGUCAUUCAUAGCCUGGAACGGCAUGGAUUUCGGCGGAAUCGUGAUAAAAUGAAGUAUGGGACUCCUACAGUUUUGGAGAGCUUGGGAGUGUUUUUAAAAACAAAGGGCUUCAAGGUGGUGGGUCAGGUGAGAAUGAGGGAGAUUAGGGUAGUCGUUCAG